rnacentral:misc_RNA from 1 species
GAUGAAGAACGUAGCGAAAUGCGAUACGUAAUGUGAAUUGCAAAUUCAGUGAAUCAUCGAGUCUUUGAACGCACAUUGCGCCCCCUGGUAUUCCGGGGGGCAUGCCUGUCCGAGCGUCAUUGCUGCCCUCAAGCACGGCUUGUGUGUUGGGCCCCGUCCUCCGAUCCCGGGGGACGGGCCCGAAAGGCAGCGGCGGCACCGCGUCCGGUCCUCGAGCGUAUGGGGCUUUGUCACCCGCUCUGUAGGCCCGGCCGGCGCUUGCCGAUCAACCCAAAUUUUUAUCCAGGUUGACCUCGGAUCAGGUAGGGAUACCCGCUGAACUUAAGCAUAUCGAUAAGCGGAGGA